rfam:Lactobacillus reuteri DSM 20016, complete genome.
GGAGACAUACUCAAGUGGCUGAAGAGGACGGUUUCGAAAACCGUUAGGCGUGUAAAAGCGUGCAGGGGUUCAAAUCCCCUUGUCUCCU